GCGAGCCUGAUCCAGCCAUGCCGCGUGCAGGAAGACUGCCCUAUGGGUUGUAAACUGCUUUUAUACGGGAAGAAACCCAUCUACGUGUAGGUGGCUGACGGUACCGUAAGAAUAAGCAUCGGCUAACUCCGUGCCAGCAGCCGCGGUAAUACGGAGGAUGCAAGCGUUAUCCGGAAUCAUUGGGUUUAAAGGGUCCGUAGGUGGAUUGGUAAGUCAGAGGUGAAAGCCUGCAGCUCAACUGUAGAACUGCCUUUGAUACUGCUAGUCUUGAAUUAUUGUGAAGUGGUUAGAAUAUGUAGUGUAGCGGUGAAAUGCAUAGAUAUUACAUAGAAUACCAAUUGCGAAGGCAGAUCACUAACAAUAUAUUGACACUGAUGGACGAAAGCGUGGGGAGCGAACGGGAUUAGAUACCCCGGUAGUCCACGCCGUAAACGAUGGUCACUAGCUGUUCGGAUUUCGGUCUGAGUGGCUAAGCGAAAGUGAUAAGUGACCCACCUGGGGAGUACGUUCGCAAGAAUGAAACUCAAAUG
rnacentral:rRNA from 1 species